CUGGGGGGCUGGGGGUUUGGGGUCCCAACAUGGCGUCCCCCCUUCCUAUCUGUGGGUCUGGGGGUCCCAAUAUGGCGUCCCUCAUUCCUAUCUGGGGGUCUGGGGGUCCCAACAUGGCGUCCCCCAGUCCUAUCUGGGAGGCUGGGGGUCCCAACAUGGCGUCCCCAUUCCAUCUGUGGGUCUGGAGGUCCCAAUAUGGCGUCCCCCAUUCCCAUCUGGGGGUCUGGGGGUCCCAACAUGGCGUCCCCCCUUCCUAUCUGGGGGUUUGGGGGUCCCAAUAUGGCGUCCCCGUUCCCAUCUGUGGGUCUGAGGGUCCCAACAUGGCGUCCUUCUUCCCAUCUGUGGGUCCAGGGUCCCAACCACACCCCCCCAUUCCCAUCUGUGGGUCUGGGGUCCCAUCCUGGUUCCCCUACUCCCAUCUAUGGGUCCGGGGUCCCAACCCUACAUCCCCAUUGCCAUCUAUGGGUCUGGGGUCCCACCCCCACACCUCUUCUCCCAUCUAUGGGUCUGGGGUCCCAUCCCCUCAUCCCCAUUCCCAUCUGUGGGUCUGAGGCCCCAACCCCACUCCCCCAUUCCCCGCUGUGGGUCAGGGGAUCCCAGCCCGGUUCCCCCACUCCCACCUAUGGGUCUGGGGUCCCACCCCCACACCUCCAUUCUCAUCUAUGGGUCUGGGGUCCCAUUCCCUCAUCCCCCUUCCCAUCUGUGGGUCUGGGGUCCCAUCCUGGUUCCCUUACUCCCAUCUAUGGGUCUGGGGUCCCAUCCCCUCGUCCCCAUUUCCAUCUGUGGGUCCAGGGUCCCAACCACACCCCCCGAUUCCCAUCUGUGGGUCUGAGGCCCCAACCCCAGCCCCCAAUUCCCCGCUGUGGGUCAGGGGAUCCCAGCCCGGUUCCCUGUCUCACACUUGUGGGUCUGGGGUCCCACCUAUGGGUCUGGGGUCCCAUUCCCUCAUCCCCCUUCCCAUCUGCAGGUCUGGGGUCCCAUCCUGGUUCCCUUACUCCCAUCUAUGGGUCUGGGGCCCCAACCCCACCCCCGAAUUCCCCGCUGUGGGUCAGGGGAUCCCAGCCCGGUUCCCCCACUCCCACCUGUGGGUCUGGGGUCCCACCUAUGGGUCUGGGGUCCCAUUCCCUCAUCCCCAUUCCGACCUAUGGGUCUGGGGUCCCAUUUCCUCAUCCCCCUUCCCAUCUGCAGGUCUGGGGUCCCAUCCUGGUUCCCCUACUCCCAUCAAUGGGUCCGGG
rnacentral:lncRNA from 1 species